UCUGAUUGUUAUUAUCUUCAAAUAUUCAAGGAAGAAGAAGAAUAACAUAACAAAAAAUAAACCUCAAGUUUCGACAACAAAAUUAUCCAUUGUUUGGAACGAAUAUUAUUGGGCGGUUUUUUUCCUGCAUAAACAUUACAAAAUCCUAUCAACGAAAAU